GUGGACGCCAGUCUGCGUGGAGCCGACCUUGAAAUACCACCCUUUAAUGUUUGAUGUUCUAACGUGGACCCGUAAUCCGGGUUGCGGACAGUGUCUGGUGGGUAGUUUGACUGGGGCGGUCUCCUCCUAAAGAGUAACGGAGGAGCACGAAGGUUGGCUAAUCCUGGUCGGACAUCAGGAGGUUAGUGCAAUGGCAUAAGCCAGCUUGACUGCGAGCGUGACGGCGCGAGCAGGUGCGAAAGCAGGUCAUAGUGAUCCGGUGGUUCUGAAUGGAAGGGCCAUCGCUCAACGGAUAAAAGGUACUCCGGGGAUAACAGGCUGAUACCGCCCAAGAGUUCAUAUCGACGGCGGUGUUUGGCACCUCGAUGUCGGCUCAUCACAUCCUGGGGCUGAAGUAGGUCCCAAGGGUAUGGCUGUUCGCCAUUUAAAGUGGUACGCGAGCUGGGUUUAGAACGUCGUGAGACAGUUCGGUCCCUAUCUGCCGUGGGCGCUGGAGAACUGAGGGGGGCUGCUCCUAGUACGAGAGGACCGGAGUGGACGCAUCACUGGUGUUCGGGUUGUCAUGCCAAUGGCACUGCCCGGUAGCUAAAUGCGGAAGAGAUAAGUGCUGAAAGCAUCUAAGCACGAAACUUGCC
rnacentral:rRNA from 1 species